GGAUCCGCAGACCGCCGAGAUGAUCCAGGGCGUGCUGCAAGGGGCGUCUUCGCUGCGCGCCGUCGCCAAUGUAGUGAAUGUGGAGGCGACGUCGUUCGACGUGCUGGUCGACACCACCGAUGUGGGUGCGGGCUGGGCAGAUGGAACCAGCACCACCACCGAGACCGACACGCCGCAGAUCGAACGGAUCUCGAUCCCGCUGCACGAGCUUUCGGCGCUGCCCAAGGCGUCUCAGCGGCUGCUGGACGACACCGCGUUCGACGUCGAGGGCUGGCUGGCCGGCCGUAUCGCUGACAAGUUCGCUCGCGCCGAGGCGGCGGCUUUCAUCAACGGUGACGGCAUCGACAAGCCCAAGGGCAUCCUGAGCCAUCCGGCGGUGGACAAUGAUGUCUGGACCUGGGGCAACCUGGGCUAUGUGCCCACCGGUGUCGCGGGCGGCAUCGACGCGGAUGCGAUCGUGGACGUGGUCUAUGCGCUGGGCGCGCAGUACCGGGUGAACGGCACUUUCGUGAUGAACUCGAAAACCGCGGGUCUGAUCCGCAAGCUGAAGGACAGCGAUGGCCGCUUCCUUUGGUCGGAUGGCCUAGCCGCUGGUGAGCCUGCGCGUCUGAUGGGCUAUCCGGUGCUGAUUGCCGAGGACAUGCCGGAUGCGGCGACCGACAGUUUCUCGAUUGCCUUCGGUGAUUUCCAGGCCGGCUAUACCAUUGCCGAGCGCCCCGAUCUGCGUGUGCUGCGCGAUCCGUUCAGUGCAAAACCGCAUGUGCUGUUCUA
rnacentral:rRNA from 1 species